AUGUAAGGGUGAGUAUGUCCCAUGCAAAAUUUGGGACAUGCUUAACCUAAAA
rnacentral:pre_miRNA from 1 species